GUGGAGGGAAGCUCAGUGCUGAGGCCUACAGACAGAGUGUAGGGGUCACUCUAUGUGCCUCAGGGAAGGUCCUGAGACUGGAGCUCCUAGUUGCCCCUGCAGGGCAUCCCUUGGAUGAAGGGGGUGGUUCCCCAGAGAACUUGGCUCUGAUUGGCCAGUGAGUGCAAAAGAUGCAGCAAGUACCCAAUGUUGUGCUUCUGCAGAUGCAAAGGCAUCAGGCUUGGCACUGCCCCCACAGCUGGCACAUUCAAGCUCAAUGGCUGAGAGGGAACUGCCUGUGUUUCCCAACCCAAUUCAGACUACUCUCCCUCCAC
rnacentral:RNase_P_RNA from 1 species